UACGUAGGAUGCAAGCGUUGUUCGGAAUUAUUGGGCGUAAAGCGUGCGUAGGCGGCUUGUUAAGUCUGGUGUGAAAGCUAGGGGCUCAACCCCUGUGUUGCACUGGAAACUGGCAGGCUUGAGUGCGGUAGGGGAAGGUGGAAUUCCGAGUGUAGCGGUGAAAUGCGUAGAUAUUCGGAAGAACACCGGUGGCGAAGGCGACCUUCUGGGCCGCCACUGACGCUGAGGCACGAAAGCGUGGGGAGCAAACGGG
rnacentral:rRNA from 1 species